ACUCCUACGGGAGGCAGCAGUAAGGAAUAUUGGUCAAUGGAGGAAACUCUGAACCAGCCAUGCCGCGUGGAGGAUGAAGGUCCUCUGGAUUGUAAACUUCUUUUAUAGGGGGCGAAAAAAGGCUUUUCUAAGUCGUCUGACGGUACCCUAUGAAUAAGCACCGGCUAACUCCGUGCCAGCAGCCGCGGUAAU
rnacentral:rRNA from 1 species